rnacentral:rRNA from 1 species
UACGUAGGCAGCAAGCGUUGUUCGGAGUUACUGGGCGUAAAGGGUGCGUAGGCGGCUUUUUAAGUUUGGUGUGAAAUCUCCCGGCUCAACCGGGAGGGUGCGCCGAAUACUGAGAGGCUAGAGUGCGGGAGAGGAAAGUGGAAUUCCUGGUGUAGCGGUGAAAUGCGUAGAUAUCAGGAGGAACACCGGUGGUGUAAACGGCUUUCUGGACCGUAACUGACGCUGAGGCACGAAAGCGUGGGGAGCAAACAGG